GGAGGGUUAAGACAAAUCAUUGUUGUUCUUUUGCAACAAAAAUUUUAUCAUGUAACAUAUUGGUUUGAGCAGCACUAAUGCUAGCCUUUUCAGUAGUAAUUCAACAUUCAUGUGCUAGCACCCCCCCCCCCCCCCAAAAAAAAUACAAAGAUUACAACCUGUUAGCAUGUUAACGUGCCAGCUGUAAAUGUACCAGCUAAACAACGCUGCCAUGUGUAGCAGCAUUCAAUUCAUGUUCUGAUUAUACUGGGUUUAUCUUAAAAAGCACAACUUCACUGACGGUGCAACAUGUUAGCAUACUCAUGCUAGCUUGUUAUUCUCCUCACAUUACUGUUCUAACUUUAUGCAUGCUGCUAACUGAGCUUUUAUCUGAUUUAUGAAUGUGCUGACAACUAUUAAUCAGCAUGACAACAAUCCCACAACCAAACAUCAGACACUCAGCAGCUUCACAAUUCUUUCUACUACACGCCACUAUGCUAAUGUUGGCCACAGUGUUAACUUUCCUAAUGUACAAAUGCUACUAAGCAUAUGAGCAUAGAUCAACUGUUAGUGUGGUCUUAUUCAGCAGCAACUAAGGCAAAAUCUUAAAAUUUUGAAUGUUUUUGUGAAGUGACAUAACUUCAUCACUAUGCUAACA